rnacentral:ncRNA from 1 species
AAUUGAUUGAGAUUGAUCCUGUCUUUAUUUUAAGUGAUUAGUUAUUUGAUAAUAUUAAAUAUAAGUUUUUGCGUGUUAAUUUAUUUAUCUUAAGGAUAAAUUAAUUUUAUUAUUUGUAGUUUUUGGUUUUGAAAAUUAUGGUAACAUAGAUUCAGUUAAUUUAUUUAGAAUUGUUUAAGGUUGUGCCAGCAUACGCGGUUAUACUUCCAAUUCGAAUUAAUCUUUUUGGUUUUUAUUUAUUUUUAUUAUUGGAGGUUAUUUUAUUUUUAUAAGGUGAAAUUUUUAAUUUUAGGUAAAUCCUCUAGGUUUAAGAUAUAUGAGAAAUUUAGAAUUUAGACUAGGAUUAGAUACCCUAUUAUUCUAAAUGUAAAUUUGGAACCAUAGUAUUAAUAGUUAUGAUCUUUAAAUUAAAAGGAUUUGGCGGUAAUUUAGUCUUUUCAGAGGAACCUGUUCUGUAAUCGAUAAUCCACGUUGGAUUUAACUUUAAUUUUUGUUUGUAUAUCUCUGUCAUUGAAUGUUUUAUUAGGAUAUUUUCUUUAAUCAUUAAUUUAGGUUAAUGUCAGGUCAAGGUGCAGCUAUAUUAAAGGUUGAAAUGGGUUACAUUUAAUGUUACUUAAUUGGAAUAUUUAUACUGUAAGUUAGUUCAAUAUGAAAAAGGAUUUGAAAGUAAUUGUUAUUAUUUUAUAUAAAUGAUUUUAGCUCUAAAUUAUGUACACAUCGCCCGUCGUUCUCAUUAUUAAGGUGAGAUAAGUCGUAACAAAGUAAUUUUACCGGAAGGUGAGGUUAGGAUUACA